UCGGGAACGUUGGCCUUUCUAACUGAGGGGACAAAGUUUUGUUCGCUCCAGAAACAAAUAAAAAGAUAAAGAAAAUCAAUUUGACAGAUGCAUCAACUGCUGCUGUGUGGCGUCUGUUGCUUAAUGCGAAUUCAGAUGGUCGUGUGGUAAAAAUAUUGAGCAGAGACCACUCGGCCAAAAGCCUUAUGUGAGAGGAAGAGGACCAGGCGUCGUCAGUUAAGACUAUUCGGUCAGGUUUUUUUUCUGAUUGGGGAAAAAAAAGAUCAUCGGAGGGGAUUCAACGAUGGCGAGCUAACCAGUGAUUGAAGAACCAAGAACAUUGAUGAUUCUGGAAUAACAGACGGACUGUCUGUCUGGUAGGAUUGUAUUAGUCAUCGGACUGAUACAUAUAGGCCUGUCGCGAUAACAAAUUUUAGU